CCUACGGGGUGCAGCAGUGAGGAAUAUUGGUCAAUGGACGAGAGUCUGAACCAGCCAAGUAGCGUGAAGGAUGACUGCCCUAUGGGUUGUAAACUUCUUUUAUAUGGGAAUAAAACGUUCCACGUGUGGGAUUUUGUAUGUACCAUAUGAAUAAGGAUCGGCUAACUCCGUGCCAGCAGCCGCGGUAAUACGGAGGAUCCGAGCGUUAUCCGGAUUUAUUGGGUUUAAAGGGAGCGUAGGUGGAUUGUUAAGUCAGUUGUGAAAGUUUGCGGCUCAACCGUAAAAUUGCAGUUGAAACUGGCAGUCUUGAGUACAGUAGAGGUGGGCGGAAUUCGUGGUGUAGCGGUGAAAUGCUUAGAUAUCACGAAGAACUCCGAUUGCGAAGGCAGUUCACUGGACUGCAACUGACACUGAGGCUCGAAAGUGUGGGUAUCAAACAGGAUUAGAUACCCCUGUAGCC
rnacentral:rRNA from 1 species